AUACGGAGGGUGCAAGCGUUGUUCGGAAUCACUGGGCGUAAAGGGCGCGCAGGCGGUUUGGUAAGUCAGAUGUGAAAGCCCACGGCUCAACCGUGGAAGUGCAUUUGAAACUGCCAGACUUGAGUACCAGAGGGGAAAGUGGAAUUCCCGGUGUAGAGGUGAAAUUCGUAGAUAUCUGGAGGAAUACCGGUGGCGAAGGCGACUUUCUGGCUGGAUACUGACGCUGAGGCGCGAAAGCGUGGGGAGCAAACAGGAUUAGAAACCCUAGUAGUCC
rnacentral:rRNA from 1 species